CCACCUCCCCCUUCCACGAUUACACCUUCGCCUCCUCCUCCUUUCCAACCACUACCUUUGCCAUCUACACUAUCCAUCUCCAAAAUCCAACAGUAUCCCUUGCAAGUCAAGUUAUUUAGUUUGGAUCCAGGGUUAUGUGGAUACAAUGGUAGCAGGUCACCUCUUAUUGAGAAAGUUCAGGUAUCAGAUGCUAUCGGUGGAAAGUCAAAUGUCCCUCAGGGAUCCACUUGUGGAAAAGUAAGACCUGUGCAUCCACAUCAACAUAUACAACUAUUUGAUGCAAGCAAUGGACUCCGUGUUGAUGCCCUCGUGGGAAGAUCGUACUGGGAAGGUGUUAUUGUUGAUCAUGUUGAAGGCUCCAUGGAGAGGAAAGUUUUUUUCCCUGAUGAAGGUCAUGAACGCAUUAUGCAGUCAAUCAGGUAUGCAUACUAA
rnacentral:rRNA from 1 species